rnacentral:misc_RNA from 1 species
CGAGCGCCAUCUCUCCGCGACUACCCUGAACUACAGGAACCUCCGCUCCGAUGGGAAAACUAGCGACGCGGCAGGCAUCUAGUAAAGGAGGCAUUGCUCUGACUCGCUUUGGCGUAGCGGGUGUAGUAAACAUAUGUGGUACGUUGUGCGUGUGGCGUCGCGCUGACAAUCGCGAGAUAAAUUUUAGCUCCCGGUCUCCGUCUCCAUCCGAUAGCCUGCACCUCGUCCAACCGAUCAGCGCCCUGAAAGAAAAAAAGGUAAGCUAGGUUCCAUCUGGAGCCGCCCUUGAUGAGCCUGGCUGGCACCAGCCGUCUGGAGGUGAGCUGUGUUCUGCACUGGUUUUCACUGUGGAACGCUGCCCAGAGGGAGGCCUUCUCUGCCACACUGCUUGCCCACUUGGCACCCCCGAGGGAAGACCCCGCUGGUGAGCUGUGUGGCCAGCUUGACGCAUUGUCUCUGUCCCGCCGCAACUCUCCGUCGGUGCUGCACUGUCAGUUGUCCCUGUGUGAGCUGUACUUUGCCUCGUGGGGACCCGAGGGUCAGCGAAACUUCCUCCAGAUUCUGGCGCAGCGUGACGGCCCUUUCGUGGCCCGUUUCCUCGGCUCUCUGGCACAGCGGGAGCCCCUGCUGGCUCAGGCACUGGCCCCGUGACCUCCUCCCCCACCAAAAUUAUUCCCAUCGUGGUCUCCCUGAACAAAGAGAGGAUCCGGGUGGGCAAAGAUGCUGAGCCAGAAGGGCCCCGCGUGCAGCGCUGCCGAGCAGUCUGCUUACCUGCUCAGCUGGUUCGGAGAGUACAGCGACCUGCAGCGUGACGACUUCCUGCAUGUGCUGGCCGAUAAGUACACACUCCUGGGACCUGCCGGUGACGGCGACCUGGGGCUGUCGCACCUCUCCAUGGGGAACCCCGAUGCCCCACCCUCACUCUUCCAAUGCCGCAUGAGCCUCUUCGACCAGUGGUUCCAGGGCUGGAGCGACGAGGACAAAGCGAGCUUCCUUGACCGGCUACGGUCCCUUGACCCGGAGUUUGUGGACAAGCUCUCCUCCGUCCCCAAUGGCACAGCAGACCACAGUCCAAGUGCGCCACUGCCACCAGCAACGACAACAGUCUUGGUCAAUCACUGCACGAGUGUAACAGUCAAUGGAGAUAGUCUCAAAGUCGAUGAGGAUGAAGAGGUGGAGGAGGAGGAGGAAGAGGAAGGAAAUCGGGAGGUAGUCUCGCCAACGGAGGAACCACAACCUAUGCCGAGGAAUGUCGUGUCCCCAAGCAGUGGCUCCGUUGAGGAAGAGAGGGUUUCGCCGAUGGGAGAAAAGAUAGAAUAUGAGGAACAAGAGGAGCUGGUGCUCUGAAGGUUUCACAAAAAUGUGCAGAAUGUGGCGCUACAGUAACAUCAGUCCAGUAUACGACUGGUUGUACUUGUGUCAGUGGUACAGGACGUCUUCCUUGUGUAUUUUCAAGUUGUCUGGCUGACUUUGUCAGGCCAGUGACAAAGCGCUCGCAGAAUGUGUAACCUUUCCUCAUUUCGCAUCGACGGCUUAGGAGGUUUUGUAUAGAAUUUGGACAGGCCGAUUCAAACUGCCAGCAGGCUGCAUAGUGGCUUUGAUAUGUGAUGUGUGAGCAG